rnacentral:misc_RNA from 1 species
GGAAUCCAGUGCAUCCUACAUAUGGAGCCUUCUGGGGCAUGGGAAUAGGCGUUGGCUGUGGGGUGGGAUGGGGUCCUGGAUUUGGUCCUGAGGCUAUUGGUUAUGUUGGAGCUGGAUGUGGUGUUGGAUUCAGCGUUGGCUUCUCUCUGCUCGGCGUUGGCAUUGGUCUACCUGCCAAUUACAUUUACACAGGUCCUUACAAUGCAUUCACAGCUGCCAGAAGUGGUGCUAUUGAGAUGUCUCGAUCAACUGAUAUUCGAAGCAUGAGAAACAUUGUGGAAGAGAGUCGGUGUUACCUCGAUUCAAAUAUUGCUGGCUUCCAAGAAAGAGUGAUUCAGUCUUUUUCAAGCAUAAGGUUCAAAGAAUCAGUAGGGAAGGCGGUAGAUUCGUCUGAAAUGCCAAUCAAAAUGUCUUUUCCGGAUCAAUGCAUGGAUCGUCUAAAACAAGGCAUCAAUAGCUUAUUUCAUCCUUGCAAAGGUUCAAAGGAUUAAGCAACAUGUUGAGGAGCACAAUCCCAGAAGGGUUAAUAUACAUUGCACACUUCACAGCAUUGGCCUUAGUUUUUUUGCCUUCCCACAGAUAGUAGGGAGCAUAUAGGUAGAAGAAAAAAGAGCAUUUACAGUUGCAGUUGUUAACAUGCUUUCAUUUCUUUUAGUUUGGUAAACAUUGUUUGAAUGAAAGUGAGAAUUUGAAUUAAUACGGAAAAGGGUCAAAAAUGUCUCUGAACUAUCGCGAAAGGUCAUAAUAUACCCUUCGUCUUUGUCCAUCUAUUAUGCUAAUAAUACUUUUCGGAUUUUUAG